CGGAACGGGUGAGUAACGCGUGAGGAACCUGCCUCAAAGAGGGGGACGAACAGUUGGAAACGACUGCUAAUACCGCAUAAGCCCACGGUGCCGCAUGGCACAGAGGGAAAAGGAGCAAUCCGCUUUGAGAUGGCCUCGCGUCCGAUUAGCUAGUUGGUGAGGUAACGGCCCACCAAGGCAACGAUCGGUAGCCGGACUGAGAGGUUGAACGGCCACAUUGGGACUGAGACACGGCCCAGACUCCUACGGGAGGCAGCAUG
rnacentral:rRNA from 1 species